rnacentral:rRNA from 1 species
UUUUUAUGGAGAGUUUGAUCCUGGCUCAGGAUGAACGCUGGCGGCGUGCCUAAUACAUGCAAGUCGAGCGAACAGACGAGGAGCUUGCUCCUCUGACGUUAGCGGCGGACGGGUGAGUAACACGUGGAUAACCUACCUAUAAGACUGGGAUAACUUCGGGAAACCGGAGCUAAUACCGGAUAAUA